rnacentral:rRNA from 1 species
UGAUCAAUGCGUCGGUCGUGCCUUCGGUACGUACUAGCGUCAUUGAUUCCUUCCUUCUGAAGAACCGUGAUGUCAUUAAUUUGGUGUUAUGGGGAAUCAGGACUGGUUUUACCUUGAAAAAUUAGAGUGUUUAAAGCAGGCUAACGCUUGAAUACAUUAGCAUGGAAUAAUGAAAUAGGACGUUCGAUCCUAUUUUGUUGGUUUCUAGGAUUGACGUAAUGA